CCGAAUCCCUGCCCUUUGCCUCAUUAUAUUUCUAUCAGACUUCACUUCCUGGCCUUGCAAAGUAGCAGUUGCAGAGCUUCUAAAAAUGUCUGUUAUUGCAGUUUUCUCCAAUUGGUUCUCCUCAUACCCUCCAAAACCAGUUCCCAGCUCAUUCCAUCGACGACCUCUAAAGCAGCCUGGCUGCUUCAUUUUUCCUCCUUAUAGAGUUUCCGCUGAUAAUACCAGACAGUUAUCAGCUUAUCACUUCUUUAGACAGCCAACUUUCAGGACUAGAAGUUUCCAGCAUGAAGAUACUGAAAACAUUGGGGCUGCAGAACCUAAAGAUAAGCUGGAGAAAGGAGAUAGAGCUGCUGAUGAGGUACUUGAAAAUCAAACCAGUGGGACUGAUAGGACAGGAAGUUCAUUUCUGGCAAAAUUAGCAAUUGCAUUAGGUGUAGCUGCAGCUCUUACUGUCAUAUCGUUUGGCCUCAAGGGGGCUAGUUUUGGAUCAUUGCUAGGAGUUCAACACCUGGCUGAAGGUUCAUCCUCUUCAAUUAUGGACUCCUCUCUUGGUUUCACUUUCAAAGCUUUUGGAUACCGAUUUGUACUUCCAGAAUAUGCACCAGGAUGGAUUUACUUUUGGUUGCUUAUGGCUGCUGGGUUUGGACUUUUCAUUAGUGAAGAGGCUUUAAAUAUCUGGGUUGGCAUAACUUUGGCACGGAUGCUGUCAUUAGAUGGAACAUGGCAUUCCUUUGUUGAAUCUCUCUCAAGAAACACCCCAUACAUAAUAUCCACAGUUCUCUGGGUAUACUGGGGAGUUUGCAUCAGUGAUAUGAUACCAUUUUACUUUGGAAAGUUGUUUAGACAAAGUGGAGCAUCUGAUGAUGUUUGUUCAAAGUUAGGGAUUGGUGAAGAGAAGGUGUUGCACAUCACACGGGUUGUUCAAAAAUAUGGCAAUCUCAUAGGCUUCAUAGAGCGAUUUUCCUUAGGAGUAAGAAAUCCCACGGCUUUCCUAGCAGGGUCCCUGGGAAUAUCACCUGAAUUCUUCUUCGCUGGAGUUUGUUGUGGUGGCUUGGUCACUGUUCCGAUUCAGCUGGGAAUUGGAUUUCUGAUGAGGAAACGUCCUGUCUUUGCCCUUGCAACUGUCGCCACAGUAGUGGGAAUUUGGACUGCGUUGCCAUAUGUUGUGGCUGCUGCAACAGCAUUAUUCCUUUUCCUGCAGCGCCGCUACUCAACCUAGCCCUUUCAAAUUGUUAUCAGAUUCAGAAAUGCAGAGGAGAUGCUACUAAUUUGUGAUUGGAUGUGCAGGUUACCGUUAAUGAUAAGCCAAUUUAAAUAUAUUCACCGAAAAAUCACCCUCUAGUAUCUUGCAUUACAUCUUGUAAUCCGUUAAAGACAGGACCUUCUGCGGAACAAGGUUGGAUUUUGGCUUUACAUUUUCGGCUGUUGCCUAGGGAGUAAUUGGUCCUCAAUGUUGAUAGCCUGUAGAGUGAAUUGGUUCUUUGAAGGUGAUACCAGUAUCACUAUUCACCAACCGAGCAGAAGAGCUUGGUUCCUUCCUGAGGCUGAUGACAAGCUAUAGUUGACUAGAGAAGAAAAGUACUGAAAUUGUAACUUCUUGGAAUGCCAAAAUAGGCAACAAAGAUAAUGGUGAGAUUGUUUGUAGCUAAUCCCUUAUAAAGAGCCAUCAUGAAAUUGUAUGUCCUUUGAAAGGCCAA